rnacentral:piRNA from 1 species
AAGCCUGCAUGCGUGUUCCACUCU